AUGGCGCCGAGCACCGUCCCGCGCGCACUCCUGGCCGUGUCCCUCGUUCUCCUGGUGGUCGGCGGCCUCGGGCCGGCGGCGGAGGCGCAGCCGCCGGGGGGGUGCGUGCCGCAGCUGAACCGGCUGCUGGCGUGCCGCGCGUACCUGGUGCCCGGCGCCGCCGACCCCAGCGCCGACUGCUGCAGCGCGCUGAGCUCCAUCUCGCGCGACUGCGCGUGCAGCACCAUGGGCAUCAUCAACAGCAUCCCCUCCCGCUGCAACAUCGGACGAGUCAACUGCUCGGCUUGA
rnacentral:rRNA from 1 species